rnacentral:rRNA from 1 species
UAGGGAAUCUUCCACAAUGGACGCAAGUCUGAUGGAGCAACGCCGCGUGAGUGAAGAAAGGUCUUCGGAUCGUAAAACUCUGUUGUUAGAGAAGAACACGAGUGAGAGUAACUGUUCAUUCGAUGACGGUAUCUAACCAGCAAGUCACGGCUAACUACGUGCCGG